rnacentral:lncRNA from 1 species
CCUUGGUGUGAAACCUUGAGCAAGGGCUAGGCACGAAGCCUAGUUCUCUCCCUCUCUUCUUCCUCUUCUCUCCUUCUUUCUUUCUCCUUCUUCUUCCCUGCUGUCCAGCAUUAGCGCUGGUAUCAGAGCAAAGGAAACAAAACACCUUCUGGGCUGCUGUGGCCUUGGUCUCAAUCCCUCCUUCUGAAGCCGUACUGCUAAGUCCUCCUCCGUGGUCGUCCCAUGGGGAUCAAGCCUCACAAGGAAGGAACCAAAAAAAAAAAAGAAACUCUUCUUCCCUGUUCCCAUGGACAGUUGCAAUUUUCUUUCCCCUACCCGCGACCCAACGGAGAAGACUGCCGCCGCGGCCUGAUCUCUAGCCGCAGCCACCACCCAAGGCUGGGUCCGAGAAGAGGAGCGUCCCGUGUCCGCGGCCGCUUCGUUGCCGCUUGCAGCUUCGCCCUCAGCCGCCACCGCAGGGCAAGUAACCCUUCCCCUCAAAGCCCACGAAGGACCCAGGC